UCAGCCAACAAACCAAGAAAGGCAUGCAUAAAAAAUGUGGACAUGCAAGUUCAUGAACAUCCAUCUUCAUUCUCCUGGGAUCAGUAAAUUCACAUGAGGGCCUUUUAUUCUGAAGAAAACCUCCGUGUGGAAGAUGGCUAAUCUUUCUUACAGUGAAGAUUGAAAGCCUUCUGGUUCUCCCAGUCACGACCUAAAUGACACUUCUUCCAGGAAGCCUUCGCUGGCCUGGAUGAAUGGGGAGGUAGAGCUCCCUGUGUGAUGGGCAGCAAAGGACCCAGCUGUUUGACAGUCUCACCCAAGGAGGAACGCAGUACGGAGUCCCCGUCUUCAGGCAGAGCCAACAGUGGAGACGAGCACAUGCUGUCCCGCUGUGCUCACAGCUCCAUGAGCAAUAGCAGGCUCCCAAC
ensembl:lincRNA